rnacentral:rRNA from 1 species
UGCAGUCGAGCGCGAAAGUCCCUUCGGGGGCGAGUAGAGCGGCGGACGGGUGAGUAAUACAUAGGUAAUCUACCUUCGAGCUUGGGAUAACCCCGCGAAAGUGGGGCUAAUACCGGAUAAGACCACGUAACCAUGUUGCGGGGUAAAAGGUGGCUUAUUUUUUAAAUGAGCUAUCACUUGAGGAUGAGCCUGUGGCCUAUCAGCUUGUUGGCGGGAUAAAAGCCCACCAAGGCUAUGACGGGUAGCUGGUCUGAGAGGACGACCAGCCACACUGGGACUGAGACACGGCCCAGACUCCUACGGGAGGCAGCAGUGGGGAAUAUUGGGCAAUGGGCGAAAGCCUGACCCAGCGACGCCGCGUGGGCGAUGAAGGCCUUCGGGUUGUAAAGCCCUGUCAUGCGGAAAGAACGACCCUGUGACGCAUACUCACAGGGAGUGACGGUACCGCAGGAGGAAGCACCGGCUAACUCCGUGCCAGCAGCCGCGGUAAUACGGAGGGUGCAAGCGUUGUUCGGAAUUAUUGGGCGUAAAGGGCGCGUAGGCGGUAAUGUAAGUCAGAUGUGAAAUACUUCGGCUCAACUGAAGAACUGCAUCUGAAACUGCAUAACUAGAGUACAGAAGAGGGAAACGGAAUUCCCGGUGUAGAGGUGAAAUUCGUAGAUAUCGGGAGGAACACCAGUGGCGAAGGCGGUUUCCUGGU